rnacentral:rRNA from 1 species
UACGUAGGUGGCAAGCGUUGUCCGGAAUUAUUGGGCGUAAAGCGCGCGCAGGCGGGAAGAUCAGUCUGACUUAAAAGUGCGGUGCUUAACGCCGUGAGGGGUCAGAAACUAUCUUUCUUGAGUGCAGGAGAGGACAGUGGAAUUCCCAGUGUAGCGGUGAAAUGCGUAGAUAUUGGGAGGAACACCAGUGGCGAAGGCGACUGUCUGGACUGUGUCUGACGCUGAGGCGCGAAAGCCAGGGUAGUGAACGGG